rnacentral:rRNA from 1 species
ACGGAGGGUGCAAGCGUUAAUCGGAAUUACUGGGCGUAAAGCGCGCGUAGGCGGUUAUCUAAGCUAGAUGUGAAAGCCCAGGGCUCAACCUUGGAAUUGCAUUUAGAACUGGGUGACUAGAGUACAGCAGAGGAGUGUGGAAUUUCAGGUGUAGCGGUGAAAUGCGUAGAUAUCUGAAGGAACAUCAGUGGCGAAGGCGACACUCUGGGUUGAUACUGACGCUGAGGUGCGAAAGCGUGGGGAGCAAACAGG